AGGGUUUGAUUAUGGCUCAGGAUGAACGCUAGCAGCAGGCUUAACACAUGCAAGUCGAGGGGUAACAGGGAUUGCUUGCAAUCCACUGACGACCGGCGCACGGGUGCGUAACGCGUAUGCAACCUACCUUUUACAAGGGGAUAGCCCAGAGAAAUUUGGAAUAAUACCCUAUACGAUCAUUAAUUGGCAUCAAUUUAUGAAGAAAACUCCGGUGGUAAAAGAUGGGCAUGCGUCCUAUUAGUUAGUUGGUAAGGUAAUGGCUUACCAAGACUUCGAUAGGUAGGGGUCCUGAGAGGGAGAUCCCCCACACUGGUACUGAGACACGGACCAGACUCCUACGGGAGGCAGCAGUGAGGAAUAUUGGACAAUGGAGGCAACUCUGAUCCAGCCAUGCCGCGUGCAGGAAGACGGCCCUACGGGUUGUAAACUGCUUUUAUACAGGAAGAACUAUAUCUACGUGUAGAUAUUUGACGGUACUGUACGAAUAAGGAUCGGCUAACUCCGUGCCAGCCGCCGCGGUAAUAC
rnacentral:rRNA from 1 species